rnacentral:sRNA from 1 species
AGAUACCAUAAGAAACUGAUCCGCCUGCCUCUCCCAGACGAUGAGCAUGACCUCUCAGACAGAGAGCUGGAGCUGGAAGACUCUGCAGCUCUGUCAGACCUGCACUGGCACGACCGCUCUGCAGACAGCCUGCUUUCUCCACAGCCUUCCUCCAACCCCUCCCUCUCGCUCGCUCAGCCCCUCCGGAGCGAGCGGUCAGGACGAGACACCCCGGCUAGUGUGGACUCCAUCCCCCUGGAGUGGGAUCACGACUAUGACCUCAGUCGGGACCUGGAGUCUGCAAUGUCCAGAGCUCUGCCCUCUGAGGAUGAAGAGGGUCAGGAUGACAAAGAUUUCUACCUCCGGGGAGCUGUUGGCUUAUCAGGUAGGAAAGAGCCUCUCCAGUUUGCCAGCUUAAAGGAAAGUCAGAGGGAAUUAAUAUUGCCCUGGAAACAUGACAGCUAUCCAGAAUCAUUUGCUUCCUUCUUUCAUGCGGGGAAAUUGUACCUAAGUGAACACUUAGAUAUGAAUGUGAUUACAAAAUGC